UUUCUUCAGCCGCCUCCCUUCCCCUUCUCUCUCUCUCUCUCUCCCCUCCAUUUUUAGCUAAACUCCCCUUUCUCUUUAGCCAUGGACAGAGACUGUCCUUCCAUUUCUGUGUAAGUCUGCACUACUCAGAACCUUUCCAUUCCUUUGGGGAAUAUAGACACAUAAAAUCUUCAAAGAUCAGAGGAAAUCGGCCCAUUUUUUAGCGCAGCCUGAACCAUCACAUGAAGGUCUGCAACGUUCGAUUUCGGAGGCUGAGGAUUCGAUUUCAAAUAUCGAUUCCAAUUCCCGCCCAAAAAUGUUAGCCUAAAACCCUAGCUCAUCACUAUAAAUAGAAGCUUUGCUGCUCAUGAAAAGGGGAUUUUUUUUGGUCGGAAAAACACUCUUGAAAGUCCUUGCGUUUAUUUUGGGUUUCACCAGAGUUUUUUUUUUGGAGCCAUCAUCGUCAUUUGAAAUUAUUUGAAAUCAAACUAAAUUUCUUUAAAAAAAAAAGAGUAUUCUAUGUUGUCGAGAUUUUUGAUUCGAAAGAUUUUCCGAGUUUGGGUUCGUCACGUUCGAGCAUAGAUCUAAACCCCGCACCCCUGUUCGCUGCACCCAAAAAAGCAUGUUCUUGACUUUUCAGAAGUUAGUUUACUUUGGAGUUCGAUCAAUACAUGUCAAAUAUGUUUUCUCAAAUGGUAUUACACAAGCUACUGCACUACUUUCCAAGGACAUUUCAAGUCAUGACAAACCGACGAAAAGCGUUUUGUAGCAUCCUUCUUACUGGGAUUCGGCUGUACUGGAUAUUUAUGUGUUGUUUCUGUCUCUGUCUACGCUCGAGUUGUAAGAUCAUGACUGCAAAUACUGCACCAGUGUUAAGCAUGAAUAUGUUAUCAGGGACAUCAUUGUUUAUGUCAACAGGCUGAUUUUUUUUUAAACUUUCUUAAACUUUCUCCAACAUAGAAUCUUAGCAUGCGUUGGCAUUAUAAUUUUAUUUACUAUUACCACACAUUUAAAGGCAUAAUAAUUACCAACUUAUUGAUACUCCUUA